UUCUCUCUCUCUCUCUUUUUUUUUAAAAAAUAUUCUAGGUAUUUUUGAAGGGAGCUGAUAUCAUGAUAUGCUGUGAAUUUUAUUGGAUGAGAACUACUUGUUGUUUGGGAUUUUGAUAUAUUUUAGACUUGCCAUGAUUGGUGCAGUAGAGAUUUCACUCAGGUUUAAUUAGUAAUACCUGUCAUAGCUGUGUACAGCGGUUAACUUUCCAAGUUUAAGAUGAAAAUUUAAAAAUUUGUGGAUAUUACCUUCAGUAAACAGAAAGUAGACUGGCACACAUUUAAAUCUAAUUGACUAUUUUUAUGCUUUUAUUAUCAUUUCAGAAUGCAGAGUCCAACUCUUUCAGCUUCAUUCUUUUUCUUCAUCUCUCUCUUAAAUGUUGUUUCCUUUGGUUAAUGUUGGUCUGAGUAUUCAAUUCUCAAUUUCUAUUAUUUUGCAACCUUGUUCAUAGAUUGAGUUUCGUUUGUGGAAAUUUAC
rnacentral:misc_RNA from 1 species